GGGACAGUGCGGCAUGCCUAUACAUGCAGUCGAACGAACUCUGGUAUUGAUUGGUGCUUGCAUCAUGAUUUACAUUUGAGUGAGUGGCGAACUGGUGAGUAACACGUGGGAAACCUGCCCAGAAGCGGGGGAUAACACCUGGAAACAGAUGCUAAUACCGCAUAACAACUUGGACCGCAUGGUCCGAGUUUGAAAGAUGGCUUCGGCUAUCACUUUUGGAUGGUCCCGCGGCGUAUUAGCUAGAUGGUGGGGUAACGGCUCACCAUGGCAAUGAUACGUAGCCGACCUGAGAGGGUAAUCGGCCACAUUGGGACUGAGACACGGCCCAAACUCCUACGGGAGGCAGCAGUAGGGAAUCUUCCACAAUGGACGAAAGUCUGAUGGAGCAACGCCGCGUGAGUGAAGAAGGGUUUCGGCUCGUAAAACUCUGUUGUUAAAGAAGAACAUAUCUGAGAGUAACUGUUCAGGUAUUGACGGUAUUUAACCAGAAAGCCACGGCUAACUACGUGCCAGCAGCCGCGGUAAUACGUAGGUGGCAAGCGUUGUCCGGAUUUAUUGGGCGUAAAGCGAGCGCAGGCGGUUUUUUAAGUCUGAUGUGAAAGCCUUCGGCUCAACCGAAGAAGUGCAUCGGAAACUGGGAAACUUGAGUGCAGAAGAGGACAGUGGAACUCCAUGUGUAGCGGUGAAAUGCGUAGAUAUAUGGAAGAACACCAGUGGCGAAGGCGGCUGUCUGGUCUGUAACUGACGCUGAGGCUCGAAAGUAUGGGUAGCAAACAGGAUUAGAUACCCUGGUAGUCCAUACCGUAAACGAUGAAUGCUAAGUGUUGGAAGGGUUUCCGCCCUUCAGUGCUGCAGCUAACGCAUUAAGCAUUCCGCCUGGGGAGUACGGCCGCAAGGCUGAAACUCAAAGGAAUUGACGGGGGCCCGCACAAGCGGUGGAGCAUGUGGUUUAAUUCGAAGCUACGCGAAGAACCUUACCAGGUCUUGACAUACUAUGCAAAUCUAAGAAGAUUAGACGUUCCCUUCGGGGACAUGGAUACAGGUGGUGGAAGGGUUGUCGUCAGCUCCUGUCCUGAGAAAGUUUGGGGUUAAAUCCCCCCACCAAGGGCACCCCUUAUUAUCAUUUGCCACCAUUAAAUUGGGCACUCUGGUGAGAAUGCCGGUGAAAACCCAAGGAAA
rnacentral:rRNA from 2 species